AGAGUUUGAUCAUGGCUCAGGAUGAACGUUGGCGGCAUGCUUAACACAUGCAAGUCGAACGCAGGCUUCGGCCUGAGUGGCGAACGGGUGCGUAACACGUAGGUGACCUGGCCUGGAGUGGGGGAUAACCCUCGGAAACGGGGGCUAAUACCGCAUGGUCUGGAGGUGUCUUGAAAACCUCCAGUAAAGCUUAAUGUGCUCUAGGGGGGGCCUGCGGCCUAUCAGGUAGUUGGUGGGGUAAAAGCCUACCAAGCCAAUGACGGGUAGCUGACCUGAGAGGGUGGUCAGCCACAGGGGAACUGAGACACGGUCCCCACUCCUACGGGAGGCAGCAGUGAGGAAUAUUGGGCAAUGGGGGCAACCCUGACCCAGCAAUGCCGCGUGCGGGAGGACGCCCUUCGGGGUGUAAACCGCUUUUGUGAGGGAGGAGCAAGGACCGUACCUCACGAAGAAGUCACGGCUAACUACGUGCCAGCAGCCGCGGUAAUACGUAGGUGGCGAACGUUAUCCGGAGUUACUGGGCGUAAAGGGUCCGCAGGCGGGUGGGCAAGUCCGGCGUGAAAUCUUCUGGCUUAACUAGAAGAGGUCGUUGGAAACUGCUCAUCUAGCAUCCCGCAGAGGUCGGUGGAAUUCCCGGUGUAGUGGUGGAAUGCGUAGAGAUCGGGAGGAACCUCGAAAGCGAAGGCAGCCGGCUGGGCGCGGAUGGACGCUGAGGGACGAAAGCGUGGGGAGCGAACAGGAUUAGAUACCCCCGUAGUCC
rnacentral:rRNA from 1 species